CUCUCCAGCCCCUUCUUCUUUUUUUUUUUUUAAAGCAGUUUUAUCUUUGUAUACAACCUACAGGGUGAAAUGUAUUUCUGAAUUGGUAAAUCAUGUCAUGUACAUUUUUUAAAAAUCUGAAGAUAGAUUGUCAUACCUUUCUAUGAAUAGCUUGCUUUAAUUUGGAGUAUUAAUAUGGUUUUCUCAUCCCAGCAUUUGGGAGGCUGAAGAAGGAAGAUCCAGAGUUUGAGGUCAAAUGGAGAAAUUGUAAGACUUUGUCAUAAAAAAGAAAAGAAACUAAUAGUCCUGUGUGUGUGAGAGAGAGGGGGGUGAGAGAGUGUAUGUUGUGAGGGUGUGUGUGUGUAUGUGUGUGAGCGUGUGGUUGUAUGUGGGUAUAUGUACUUGCAGCAAGCACUUAGCGAUCAGAGGUCUGUAUCAACUAUCUUUCCCUAUCACUCUGUGCUUUGUGAAUUUUUGUGGUGGCUGUUAUGUUUCAUUCUGUUUGUUUUAUGACAGUCUCUCACAGAAUCUGAAGCUCGCAGAUUUGGCAAGACCAGCUGGCCAGGAAACUUCAGGGAUUCCCCAGUCUUGGCCUCUCCAGCACUAGGAAUCCAGGUGCACACCACAAUGCCUGGCUUUUUGUGUGGGUACCACGGAUCUGAGCUGAAGUCCUUAUGUUUGUAUGACACGCGCUUAACCACUGAACCAUCUUCAUAGCCCCUGAUUUAGCAUGUGAGCUUGCAUAUUCUCCUUGGUUUUCUUAGUUCUUGCCCAUUGUUUCCUGGACUUCUGUGUGCUUCUUUAUCUUCUUCUCUCGGAGGGUACAUCCCCUGCCCACGCUUUCUCUACAAUCUACUGUUCCCAAAUGUUCACCUUCUUACCUAGGCCACCUCAUACAUGAAUCCAGUCUGUUCUGUGGAUAGGGAGGUAAGCAUUGCCUGGCAUGGCUGUUCUCUUCAGAACCAGCUUGUGCCAGUUCUCACACGGAGCCUUUUCUAGGAUCUUCCCAGACAUUUCUCUCUUUUCAGGCUCGUUCUGGUAGACAUUCACGUAUGUUUAGGAUAUAGGGUGUUAAAUUAACAGUUGCAGAGGAGCACGCAACCCUCGAACAUUUCAGUGGUGAAAACCAAACAGGAACAAAACCCUGCAUUUAUUUACUAUACCUGAGAUUCCUUACAGUAAAGGCCUGGCCUGUGGUCCUUCACUGAGGCUACAGAAUCCAAUUCUAAGUUGAUUUAUUCUUGUGGCUGUUUGUGAGGUCUGCGCUUGGAAGACCUCAGGGCUGCCAGACUAUCUUUUCGAUGUGGUAACCUGCUAUGAUCCCUGAAAAGCAAGAUGGCUGAUGUUUUGCUCUCUAUCAUCCAGCUUCAGAAUUUCCACACCAUUAUCUCUGCCAUUUUCUGUUGGUUACUAACCUCAUCUCUUGUUUCCAGUGGAAGAGGACUCCAGAAGAUCUCAGGAGACAGUAUGCUUUGGAUACCAUCCACUGCUAUGGUCUAAAUCACUCUGAUUUAUCCAAAACUCAAGUCCCUAACAAUCAGGCCAUCCUGUUGAGAACCCUCCUCUCAUUGUUGAGCUGACUUCUUGCUCCCAAGCACCCCUUGGUCAUACCUCCACUGUGUUUGCAAACAUUACACAGAAGCGGUUGACUUAUCAUUCUCUCUUCUUGAGCUGCCUUGAGGAAUACGAGAAUAAAUUAUUGUGGUAGUUUGAAUGUAGUUGGCCCCUCUAAUCUCACAGGGAGUGGCACUGGUAGGAAGUGUGGCUUUGUUGGAGUAGGUAUGGUUUGUUGCAGAAAGUGUGUCGCUGUGGAGGAGGAUUUUGAGGCCUUUGCUUCAGCUUUGCUUAGUGUCGCAGUCUCCUUCCUCUUGCCUACAAGAUGUAGGACUCUCAGCUACUUCUCCAGCACCAUGUCUGCCUGCCUGCUGCCACGUUCCCUGUCGUGAUGACAAUGGGCUGAACCUCUGAACUGCUCUUGCUGUGAAGCUCAGCAUGAUCUCGAACUCACAAAACAUCUGUGCCACCCUUCUGAGAGCCGGGAUGACAGCUCUGCACCCCCACACUUGCUAGCAGAUCUAAUGGAUGCUCUCAGCGACUGCUCAUGCCUGCCUGCCUGUUUGUUGCCGUGCCCUCCACCAUGAUGAUCAGGAACUCACCCUCUGAAACAUUCAGCUCUCUUCUGCAUCAGUACCAGAAGGCUCACUAGUCAUCAAAACGAGCAAUAGGACACUCUAUCCUCCUGCUGCACACUGAGCCACCCUGGGAUGUGAUGUCCUUUCUGCAGUCCCGGAAGAGGAGGUUAUGAGCUGCAGCAUCCGACGCGGCACCUCGUGAGCCUGCUCAUCCUGCCUAGUUGCGGAAUCUCACCAUAAGCCCGGUUCCAUUGUCUAAAAGUCGAAAGCUUCAAGCCUCGACUAUACACUCAUUUCAAAUCUCCACUUACAGAGGCAGAUCUAAGAAGCUGGAACAUGGAGACUGAAAUCGCCAGAUUCACACCUUAGUUAUUUGACGCAGUCAGUUGCAAGUUUAGGAAAGAAAAGAAGCACACAAAAACCUACAAGAAAAAGAAAAAACAACUCAAAACCGUGGCUUCGUUUUCUAUGAAAUCUUCACAUGGAAUGAAAAAGUAGAUGUGAACUUGUCUGUAAGAACUGAACACAGUGUUCGCCAGCUUUCUGCUUAUGGAACUGUUUGAAUAAAACACCCAUCACUGGUGAUGAUGGACUUGGAGCUAAGGAACCAUCACUAGGUUAAGUUAAGGAUCUCUAAAUUAGUUAUGUCUGCUUGAAAACUUCGAAUGAAACCACACAAAGGCAAUCAGUGUCCCGCACGCUGACUUGGUGAGGAUUCAGGAGUGUGUGCAGAAACGAGGGAAGGAUACAAGGGACAUGGCCUGUCUGCUCCAGGAACAUUUACUGAUGCCAUGACUAAUGCUAUGUCUUAGCUAGCCUUCUGUCAAUGUCCCCCAAGAAGUAGUCUCUGAUACCAGUGGGAGAAUGUCUUUGCCAUGGUAGAGUGAGGGCAAACAAGCAAAGAGCAAAAGCUUCCUGCUUCCAUGUCCUGCUACCAGAAGUGUGGCCUACAUUAAAAGAAUUUAGAGAUAUUCCUAAAUAUAAAAAUUCUAUGCAAGCCAAGUUCUUUGGCUGAGUUGGUGGUUACUUACCAGACUGUAAUUCAAACCAAUGUUCUUCUCAUAGCCACAGAUCUCAGAACAUUUAAAUGGUUCACCUGACAUAUUCAGUUUUGGGAGAAAUAAUUUUUAAAAAUUUUCUGUUUGUUUUUUUUUCACUUUAUGUGUUUGGUACUUUUU